CUAAAUUUAGGGUGUUUUUAUUAAAUAAUGAGUAUAUUUACUAAUUAAAUUAAAUUGCUUUGAUUUUUAUACUUAUAUUAAACUAGAGGGAAAUGAAUUGUAGUAAUUAAUUUUGCUUAUUUAUGAAUUGUAGGAAGCAGCAAUAGUUUAUAAUUCUAACAAAUUUUUGUGCCAGCAGUUGCGGUUAUACAAGAAGAGUAAUUUAAUUUUAUUGGUUUGUAGUUAAGUUUUUAGUUAUUAAUAAAUUUAUAUUGAGAGGUGAAAUUUUAUUAUAAAAAUUAAAUUAAUAAAUUAAUUGAUCUAAAAAAGUUUUAUUUUAAACCAGGAUUAGAUACCCUGUUAUUAAAACUGUAGUUUUAAACACCGAAUUAGUAUUAGUUAAGAGCUUGAAAAUUAAUUAUCUUGGCGGUAUUUUAACCUAUCAGAGGAACCUACCCUGUAAUUGAUAGUCCACAAUUUAUUUUACUUUUAAAUAGGCUUGUAUAUCGUUGUUGUAAUGAAUAUUUCUUAAGAAAUUUAAUUUUCUUUAUAUAAAAUUUUAUAUUAGAUCAAAUCAAGGUGCAGCUUUUAGAAGAAGAGGUGGGUUAUAUUUAUAAAUUUAAUGUUGAAAAUUUUAUUUUUUUAAGAUUUGAUAGUAAUUAUAUUAUUAAAGUAUACUGAAUUAGGCUCUAGAAUAUGUACAUAUCGCCCGUCGCUUUCAUAAAAUUAAUAUGAAAUAAGUCGUAACAUAGUAGAUUUAUCGGAAGAUGAAUCUAGAAUGGC
rnacentral:ncRNA from 1 species